rnacentral:rRNA from 1 species
UACAGAGGGUGCAAGCGUUGUUCGGAAUUAUUGGGCGUAAAGGGCGCGUAGGCGGUGCGGUAAGUCUGUAGUGAAAUCUCUGGGCUCAACUCAGAGUCUGCUAUAGAAACUGCCGUGCUUGAGUGUGGGAGAGGUGAGUGGAAUUCCCGGUGUAGCGGUGAAAUGCGUAGAUAUCGGGAGGAGCACCUGUGGCGAAAGCGGCUCACUGGACCACAACUGACGCUGAGACGCGAAAGCGUGGGGAGCGAACAGG